CAGAGCAGCUGAUGACUAUAGCCUAUGAAAAUGGGGUCAACCUCUUUGACACUGCAGAGGUCUAUUCAGCUGGGAAGGCUGAAAUAAUCCUAGGAAACAUUAUCAAGAAAAAGUGUUGGAGGAGAUCAAGUCUGGUCAUCACCACUAAACUGUACUGGGGAGGAAAGGCAGAGACAGAGCGUGGGCUCUCUAGGAAGCACAUUAUUGAAGGU